GGUCAGGCUGAAGACCUUACCCGAUUAGCUGAGAGGUGGUGCAUGGCCGUCGUCAGUUCGUACUGUGAAGCAUCCUGUUAAGUCAGGCAACGAGCGAGACCCACGUCCACAGUUGCCAGCAUACCCUCCGGGGUGAUGGGUACACUGUGGAGACCGCCGCUGCUAAAGCGGAGGAAGGAGUGGGCAACGGUAGGUCAGUAUGCCCCGAAUCUCCCGGGCUACACGCGGGCUACAAUGGUUGGUACAAUGGGCAUCUACCCCGAAAGGGGAAGGAAAUCUCUUAAAGCCAAUCGUAGUUCGGAUUGAGGGCUGCAACUCGCCCUCAUGAAGCUGGAAUCCGUAGUAAUCGCGUUUCAACAGAACGCGGUGAAUACGUCCCUGCUCCCU
rnacentral:rRNA from 1 species